UUUGUUUUCUUUCUAAUGCAUUUUUUAUUGCAAUAGGUUUUUGGGAGCAGGUGGUGUUUGGUUACAUGAAUAAGUUCUUUAGUGGUGAUUUCUGAGAUUUUGGUGCCCCCGUCACCCAAGCAGUACACGCUUCACCCAAUGUGUUGUCUUGUAUCUCUGGCCCCCUCUUGCAUUUUCCUCUGAGUCCCCAAAGUACAUUGUAUCAUUCUCAUGCCUUUGCAUCCUCAUAGCUUAGCUCCCACAUGUGAGUGAGAAGAUAUGAUGUUUGGUUUUCCACUCCUGAGUUACUUCACUUAGAAUAAUGGUCUCCAGUUGCAUCCAGCAAGAAAAACUGACUCUUCAUUAACUGCUGGCAUCACGGAAUCUGUUCUAGACUAGCACAGGAAGAGUAAAUGUCAUCUCAAUGAUGCUCAGACCAGGAGCCUGCUCCUGGAUUACCCCUUUGCAGAAGAAAAAUGAUCAAAAUGAGUACCAAGAUGUGGAACCCUAACAAGAGAGAAAUAACUCGAGCUAGAGAGAAGGGUUGUUUCUAAGGCAUAGUUCUUUGUUAGUAACAAUGUAAUUAGAAGUGUGAAUUAUUCCUGAAUAUACUAAACACCUACUGUUACAGGCUAGACCAGCAGUAGGUAUGAAAUAUAUACAGAAAUAGAGUAAACUUCUUGCUGAGAAGAAUGCCAAAGUCCAGGGGAUGAAAAGUAUUCGACGCCAAUUUGAGAAUAAGCUAGGUCUGAAAAAUGGUUGUAUUACCUAGGGGUGUUGGGACAGAAAUGUAAGUAAGUUUAAACAAAAGCGAAAUUUAGGUAAUGACAUAGACAUACACAUACACAUACAAUAUAGGUGUACCUACAUAGACACAUGGACUUAGAGAUGUGUUUAUUCAUGUGUAUUCAUAUAUAUGCAUGAACUUUGAACAGUAGAUGUUAGUAUUCCCAUUUAUGAAGAGAUUGAAGUUCUGAGGAAUGAGGUAAAAUUCACAAGGUUGCACAGGUGGAUAAGCUGCAGUUUGAAAAUUCGAUCACAGUCUCCUUAAAGCUGUUCUUUUUUGAGGAGAUCUUGCUGAAGCCUGAACUGAAACAUAAGCAGCUGUCACCAGCAUCCCGAGGGAAGCAGAGCCCACUGCGGGCAAUGGGAGAUCCUGUGCCCCUCACCCUCAACGCCCCUUCAGAGUUCUGUUCUCUUCCUGCCCUCAGACCUCUCCUGACUUGUUCUUGCCUGGCAUUUAUUUCACAAAGAAGAAAGCUUUCAGCGUGCAAGACGAACAAAGGCUAAUUUCAGGUAACACAGCAGCGUUAAUGAACUCAAGCUAGUUAAUCAGUAAAGUAUUGUAAUAAAUAGCAUCUAUCUUAGAUCCCGCCUCCGUUCCACUUUGAUUGGGCUGGUGCUGGUCGAGGGUCACCCAGCAGAUGAAGUGUUGGGGUCCCUACCAAAAGAUAAAAGGUACAGAAUGAGAAGACAGAGGGUAAAAAACCACCCCAGCUUCAUUCCCAGGCUGCUGGGGCGCUCCCAGUGUCCUUUUGAUAGUGGCAGGCCCUGAGAAUGCUCUCCAGUGCAUCAGAGCCCAUGCACAGGCCACUCUGCCUCCCUGAUGUCGCUGCUCCCCCAGUGGAGCUGCCCUGGGCACAGCUGUUGGAUUUUCGGGUGCCCAGUGCUAAGUGUUCCCCCAUCUGUCCCUGGUAACCAUUAAGGUGUUCAUGAGCUCAUCAGACACGCAGUCCCACUCUAAGGCAAGCACUGUGCCACGGCAUGCAGAGUUAGAACCUUAAAAUAUUCUGUAAUUCAAUCUCUAAUGGAAACAAUACUGAUAAAUUAACCUUAAUUGGUUCCAGCAACAACCCUGAGAAGCAUUCACAGAUUCCCUUCCAUGAGGAUGUCCUAAGAGGAAGCACCCGUCCUGAGGAGUAGCACGUUUUCGCCAUCAGGAACUGGACAUGUGAAAUGUGGUGCCUAAAGUCAGAUACCUACACAUGCUGCAGCCACCACUCAGUACAUGUGUGAGGGUAAAUGACAGUCCAUCCCAGCAAAAGUGAUUGGAACUCUCGAUAAACUGCCAGUCCCAUCUAACGGAGAGAUCCCACUCUCAAGUUUCCGAUCGCUUACUUUUCCACAACGCUUCCUCCGCUGGCUGACCUGAGCCCUCUCCUGCUGGUAUCUGCCAUGGAGGAGAUGUUUCUCCAGUAAAUGAAAGACGUCCC
ensembl:lncRNA